UCGGCCUCCGGGCCGGCAUAGACGAUGACGGGGAACCCACCGGCACCCGCCGGAUCGCCGUAACCGUACGGCUUGGGGUGAAGCCGACUCCGGUCGGCCGGGCACCUGGCAGCCCGAACCCGGCAGCUGACCCCGUAGGCGCUCGUCAGGAAGGACUU
rnacentral:sRNA from 2 species